GGAGCUACUCAGGUGGCUGCUCGCCUUAGGCGGGAGGAAAGUCCGGGCUCCAGAGGGCAAGGUGGUCGCUAACGGCGACGCAGGGUGACCUGACGGAAAGUGCCACAGAAAAUAUACCGCACUUGACAUCUCUGAUGUUAAGGGUAAGGGUGAAAAGGCGAGGUAAGAGCUCACCGCCUGCCGGAGUGAUCUGGCAGGGCAUGGUAAACCCCACCUGGAGCAAGGCCAAAUAAGGGGGAAGGAAUUGCCCGUUCCGUCUGACCCCCGGGUAGGCUGCUUGAUUCAUCAGAGCAAUCUGAUGAACAGAUAAAUAGUCACCACUAUACAGAACCCGGCUUAUGAGUAGCUCCAUCA
rnacentral:RNase_P_RNA from 1 species